AUGGCGAGGACUAGUCGCCGGCGACGGGCUGCCAAAUUGAUGGCCAAGCCAUCGGUCAAGGCGGAAUCCUUCCUCGACGAGCUGAAAUAUAAUUUAGAUGAUAGGCUCAGCAAGUUGCCCAACGACAUACUGGUCAACAUUCUUGACCGUCUCAAUUGCCGUGACGUUACAAGAACCAGUGUCCUCUCCAGACAGUGGAGUCAGCUUCCUGCCAAGCUCUCAUGGCUUAAAAUAAGUGCUCGCGAUUUCAUGCACUCACAAGCUAGCGUAUCUGAUGAUGAAUUGGAUGAAAAAUUGGCUAAGAUCAAUACAUUGCGUCGGAUCAAUGCAAUCAAUGCAGCCAAUGCAGCCGUGGUCAAAGCGACAAAGAGCAUGCUGGAACACAGGGAUCCUGGUGGAUGCACCAUCCGCCUCUUGAGCAUGGCGUUCUACUUGAGAGGUGAUGCCCCCAUAUCCAUUGGGCAUACUGUUGGCAAUGCCAUGGCGACACACAAGGUUGUUAAAGCCGAAUUCACAGUUUUGACAGAGAAGGAACACACGCUCAUUCCUGAUGAUGUGCUGAACUAUGGGACACGGUUUGUGUCAUUUUUUAAUGAGUGCCACAAUGCAUUUGCUGGUCUCACACGCCUCGAGCUGGCGAAUUUGAGGUUCCCUGAAUCGGACUUUGUCUCCAGCAUCCUUGUCACUUGCAAGCAAUUAAAUUAUUUAGGUUUUCACAAUUGCGACACAUCGGAUUGGAUAACGCUCCAAGUUGAACACGCACAGCUCAGUGAGCUCAGUAUUUUCGAUUGCCGGUUUGACAUGGUCGAACUCACCUGGGUUCCCAAACUCACCUGCCUGGCGUUUUUGUUUUGGAGAUCUUCACAAGAACUACCACUGUCACUGGGCUAUGUCCCAUUGCUUGGGGUGCUGAGACUUUCAAAUAUUGCUCGCACUAUGCACAAAAUGGUCAAGCUGAGUACACUGCUUCAUGAGACCUCUGUUCGAGACAUGACGUUGGGGUUUAAAUGCGAAAAGAUUUGGGUUCAACCAGAGUGUUUGACCAGAAGGCAGGCACAUGUGUUCCAGCAACUAAGGAUUCUCAAUCUAGUUAAUAUUCCUGAAGGGUAUGAUCUCACCUGGACAAUGUUCUUCUUGGAAGCGGCGCCGUCCCUGGAGGAGCUCUACAUGACGGUAAUUGAUCAUCCAUGUGAAAUGCUAAUGGAUGAGGAGUUAAGGAGGGAGGAAUUUUAUAGCGAUAACAAGGGCGUCGAGUGGGAGUCACCUACAUCAAAUUUCAAGCACCACCGUCUGGCCAAGCUCACCAUCUUCUGCUUUCAGUCUGAAGACUACAUGAUGAGUCAUGUCAGGCGUGUCAUGGAAGCAGCGGUGAAUCUAGAGGAUGUCUACUUGUUUGAUAGACUGACAUGUGACGGAUGCCGAGGCGUGACGCCUUUAAAGCCGAUAAGGUUCCCGGAGGAAAGUAGGCACAGGCGUUGGGUGGAGAAGCAAAUCAGGAAGGGGGGCAUCGAGUCACUUGCCACAAUCCACUUCCUGGGGACUGGUGCAAUAAGGGGUGAUAUUCUUGCAAGGAUAGCUACAGGAUACUAG
rnacentral:rRNA from 1 species